rnacentral:misc_RNA from 1 species
AGGUGCGGCUGGAUCACCUCCUUUCUAAGGAGCACCACGAAAAGGGUUGAGACACUGGGUCUUACCCGAGCCGUGAGGAGUCUGUGCGCUGUAGUGGCGCCGGCUUGGUGCACAACAAACUUGUAGAACUGCCAGACACACUAUUGGGCUUUGAGACAACAGGCCCGCAGUCCUGUCCCGUUGGGGGCAGGGGGUGUGUUGUUGCUCCGCUUUGGUGGUGGGGUGUGGUGUUUGAUUUGUGGAUAGUGGUUGCGAGCAU